rnacentral:miRNA from 1 species
UGGUGGAAAAUUUCAGGUUAG